ensembl:lncRNA
GCCGCUGUGGUUGUAGUUGGAGCCGCUGUGGUUGUUGUGGGAGACGCUGUGGUUGUUGUGGGAGCCGCUGUGGUUGUUGUGGGAGACGCAGUGGUUGUUGUGGGAGCCGCUGUGGUUGUUGUGGGAGCCGCUGUGGUUGUAGUUGAAGCCGCUUUAGUUGUUGUGGGAGACGCAGUGGUUGUUGUGGGAGCCGCUGUGGUUGUUGUGGGAGCCGCAGUGGUUGUAGUGGGAGCCGCUGUGGUUGUAGUGGGAGCAGCUGUGGUUGUAGUGGGAGCCGCUGUGGUUGUAGUGGUAUCCGCUGUGGUUGUAGUGGGAGCCGCUGUGGUUGUAGAGGGAGCCGCAGUGGUUGUAGUGGGAACUGCUGUGGUUGUAGUGGGAGGUGCUGUGGCUGUAGAGGGAGCUGCAGUGGUUGUAGUGGGAGCCGCUGUGGUUGUAGUGGGAGCCGCUGUGGUUGUAGUGGGGGCCGCUGUGGUUGUAGUGGGAGCCGCUGUGGUUGUAGUGGGAGCCGCUGUGGUUGUUGUGGGAGACUCAGUGGUUGUUGUGGGAGCUGCUGUGGUUGUUGUGGGAGUCGCUGUUGUUGUUGUGGGAGCCGCUGUAGUUGUUGUGGGAGCCGCUGUGGUUGUAGUGGGAGCCGCUGUGGUUGUAGUGGGAGCCGCUGUGGUUGUAGUGGGAGCCUUUGUAGUUGUUUUGGGAGCCGCUGUGGUUGUAGUGGGAGCCGCUGUGGUUGUAGUGGGAGCAGCUGUGCUUGUAGUGGGAGAUGCUGUGGAUGUAGUGGGAGCCGCUGUGGUUGUAGUGGGAGCCGCUGUGGUUGUAGUGGGAGCCGCUGUGGUUGUUGUGGGAGACGCAGUGGUUGUUGUAGGAGCAGCUGUGGUUGUAGUGGGGGUGCUGUGGUUGUAGUGGGAGCAGCUGUGGUUGUAGUGGGAGCCGCUGUGGUUGUAGUGGGAGCCGCUGUAGUGGGAGCCGUAGUGGGAGCCGCUGUGGUUGUAGUGGGAGCCGCUGUGGUUGUAGUGGGAGCCGCUGUGGUUGUAGUGGAAGCCGCUGUGGUUGUAGUGGGAGCCGCUGUGGUUGUAGUGGGAGCCGCU